rnacentral:rRNA from 1 species
UACGUAGGGUGCAAGCGUUGUCCGGAAUUAUUGGGCGUAAAGAGCUCGUAGGCGGUCUGUCGCGUCUGCUGUGAAAACUCGGGGCUUAACCCCGGGCCUGCAGUGGGUACGGGCAGACUAGAGUGCGGUAGGGGAGACUGGAAUUCCUGGUGUAGCGGUGGAAAUGCGCAGAUAUCAGGAGGAACACCGAUGGCGAAGGCAGGUCUCUGGGCA